rnacentral:rRNA from 1 species
AGGACGAACGCUGGCGGCGUGCUUAACACAUGCAAGUCGAACGAUGAAGCAGAGCUUGCUCUGCCGAUUAGUGGCGAACGGGUGAGGAACACGUGAGAAACCUGCCCCAGACUCUGGGAUAACAAUUAGAAAUGAUUGCUAAUACCGGAUGACGUCGGAGAACCGCAUGGUUCACUGACGAAAGGAAAUCCGGUUUGGGAGGGUCUCGCGACCUAUCAGCUUGUUGGCGGGGUAAUGGCCCACCAAGGCGUCGACGGGUAGCUGGUCUGAGAGGAUGAUCAGCCACACUGGGACUGAGACACGGCCCAGACUCCUACGGGAGGCAGCAGUGGGAAUCUUGCGCAAUGGGCGAAAGCCUGACGCAGCAACGCCGCGUGCGGGAUGAAGGCCUUCGGCUGUAAACCGCUUUCAGCAGGAACGAAAUGACGGUACUGCAAGAAGAAGAGCGGACCAACUACGUGCCAGCAGCCGCGUAAUCGUGA